rfam:Aedes albopictus isolate Foshan contig105650, whole genome shotgun sequence.
UGUUCUGUGGCGAAGUUGGUUAACGCGCCCUGUCUAGCGAUCUUGGGGAGACGUGGGUUCAAAUCGCACCAGAACUC